ACUCUGGGGAAAUCGAAUUUUUUUUAUCCAAAAUGAGAUAAAUGGCGCAUGCGCUUUUAUUGCUUUUGUUUAUUCCGCUUACUAAAUUCGCGCGGGCACACGCUCACAAUCGAUAUUGUUUUAAACAAAGAUUCUCAUCAGAAUAUAGUAUACAAAAUGGGUUUUUAUACGUUUAAAGGUGCUUUAAAUCGUACUACUAUUAAAUUAUAUUCAAUGCAAAUACUGAAAGAGCUAUGAAAGUUGUUCUAGCGAAAAGAGGGCUUGAAUAUUCGUUAAAAGACGAGACAUUCAAAUGUAUCUCGGCCAUUUAUAAUGUAAACUGGUGAAGAUGUUUUGGUUGGUUUGCCAACAGGUUAUGGGCUUAUUAUGGCAAAUAUUAAAAUAUUUCAGCUGCUACCUGACGUGUACGACGUGUUACUUGGCGUAACUAAUUCUAUCGUGAUAGUCCUAUCCACAUGAAUGACCAAGGCAUUUCGGCAUGCAUGAUGUCAAAGUAUUAUACAAGGCCAUUCUGUGCUACACUAUAUUAUGGUGAUGGCAGCGAUAUCAAAUUACCAUUGGAUCGACAUGAGAACCUGACGUAUAAGCUGUUCUAUAUGCACCCAGAAAUGUGUGUCUAUGACAAGAAAAUACAAGCUUUUUUCAACUGUGUACUGUAAACCUCUGAAUAUAAUGCUCACCUCAUUCCAAAUAUGAGCCCCCCCCCUCAAAUACAAGCCCAGAAUAUAAGCCCAGUAUCCCACUAUGUUAUUUAACAUUGACAUUGUCUUUUAAUAUAGCAGAGAACGAUAUUUGAAACACUGUCAUUGUUUUUAUAGCUUACUAUGUUAAUGGAAGUGUGUUAUUUGUAUUAUACAUGUUUAUUUUCCUGUUUAUGACUGACUUGUUAAUUACUAACACAAUUGAUCGUCCAUGUAUAAGGCCCCCGUGCAUAUAAGCCCCCCC
rnacentral:lncRNA from 1 species